rnacentral:rRNA from 1 species
GACGAACGCUGGCGGCGUGCCUAAUACAUGCCAGUUGAGCGAUGAAGCUUGGUGCUUGCACCAAUUUGAAGAGCAGCGAACGGGUGAGUAACGCGUGGGGAAUCUGCCUUUGAGCGGGGGACAACAUUUGGAAACGAAUGCUAAUACCGCAUAACAACUUUAAACAUAAGUUUUAAGUUUGAAAGAUGCAAUUGCAUCACUCAAAGAUGAUCCCGCGUUGUAUUAGCUAGUUGGUGAGGUAAAGGCUCACCAAGGCGAUGAUACAUAGCCGACCUGAGAGGGUGAUCGGCCACAUUGGGACUGAGACACGGCCCAAACUCCUACGGGAGGCAGCAGUAGGGAAUCUUCGGCAAUGGACGAAAGUCUGACCGAGCAACGCCGCGGGAGUGAAGAAGGGUUUCGGAUCGUAAAACUCUGUUGGUAGAGAAGAACGUUGGUGAGAGUGGAAAGCUCAUCAAGUGACGGUAACUACACAGAAAGGGACGGCUAACUACGUG